UUAAGCGACUAAGCGUACACGGUGGAUGCCCUGGCAGUCAGAGGCGAUGAAGGACGUGCUAAUCUGCGAUAAGCGUCGGUAAGGUGAUAUGAACCGUUAUAACCGGCGAUUUCCGAAUGGGGAAACCCAGUGUGAUUCGUCACACUAUCAUUAACUGAAUCCAUAGGUUAAUGAGGCGAACCGGGGGAACUGAAACAUCUAAGUACCCCGAGGAAAAGAAAUCAACCGAGAUUCCCCCAGUAGCGGCGAGCGAACGGGGAGCAGCCCAGAGCCUGAAUCAGUGUGUGUGUUAGUGGAAGCGUCUGGAAAGGCGUGCGAUACAGGGUGACAGCCCCGUACACAAAAAUGCACAUACUGUGAGCUCGAUGAGUAGGGCGGGACACGUGGUAUCCUGUCUGAAUAUGGGGGGACCAUCCUCCAAGGCUAAAUACUCCUGACUGACCGAUAGUGAACCAGUACCGUGAGGGAAAGGCGAAAAGAACCCCGGCGAGGGGAGUGAAAAAGAACCUGAAACCGUGUACGUACAAGCAGUGGGAGCACGCUUAGGCGUGUGACUGCGUACCUUUUGUAUAAUGGGUCAGCGACUUAUAUUCUGUAGCAAGGUUAACCGAAUAGGGGAGCCGAAGGGAAACCGAGUCUUAACUGGGCGUUAAGUUGCAGGGUAUAGACCCGAAACCCGGUGAUCUAGCCAUGGGCAGGUUGAAGGUUGGGUAACACUAACUGGAGGACCGAACCGACUAAUGUUGAAAAAUUAGCGGAUGACUUGUGGCUGGGGGUGAAAGGCCAAUCAAACCGGGAGAUAGCUGGUUCUCCCCGAAAGCUAUUUAGGUAGCGCCUCGUGAAUUCAUCUCCGGGGGUAGAGCACUGUUUCGGCAAGGGGGUCAUCCCGACUUACCAACCCGAUGCAAACUGCGAAUACCGGAGAAUGUUAUCACGGGAGACACACGGCGGGUGCUAACGUCCGUCGUGAAGAGGGAAACAACCCAGACCGCCAGCUAAGGUCCCAAAGUCAUGGUUAAGUGGGAAACGAUGUGGGAAGGCCCAGACAGCCAGGAUGUUGGCUUAGAAGCAGCCAUCAUUUAAAGAAAGCGUAAUAGCUCACUGGUCGAGUCGGCCUGCGCGGAAGAUGUAACGGGGCUAAACCAUGCACCGAAGCUGCGGCAGCGACGCUUAUGCGUUGUUGGGUAGGGGAGCGUUCUGUAAGCCUGCGAAGGUGUGCUGUGAGGCAUGCUGGAGGUAUCAGAAGUGCGAAUGCUGACAUAAGUAACGAUAAAGCGGGUGAAAAGCCCGCUCGCCGGAAGACCAAGGGUUCCUGUCCAACGUUAAUCGGGGCAGGGUGAGUCGACCCCUAAGGCGAGGCCGAAAGGCGUAGUCGAUGGGAAACAGGUUAAUAUUCCUGUACUUGGUGUUACUGCGAAGGGGGGACGGAGAAGGCUAUGUUGGCCGGGCGACGGUUGUCCCGGUUUAAGCGUGUAGGCUGGUUUUCCAGGCAAAUCCGGAAAAUCAAGGCUGAGGCGUGAUGACGAGGCACUACGGUGCUGAAGCAACAAAUGCCCUGCUUCCAGGAAAAGCCUCUAAGCAUCAGGUAACAUCAAAUCGUACCCCAAACCGACACAGGUGGUCAGGUAGAGAAUACCAAGGCGCUUGAGAGAACUCGGGUGAAGGAACUAGGCAAAAUGGUGCCGUAACUUCGGGAGAAGGCACGCUGAUAUGUAGGUGAAGCGACUUGCUCGUGGAGCUGAAAUCAGUCGAAGAUACCAGCUGGCUGCAACUGUUUAUUAAAAACACAGCACUGUGCAAACACGAAAGUGGACGUAUACGGUGUGACGCCUGCCCGGUGCCGGAAGGUUAAUUGAUGGGGUCAGCGCAAGCGAAGCUCUUGAUCGAAGCCCCGGUAAACGGCGGCCGUAACUAUAACGGUCCUAAGGUAGCGAAAUUCCUUGUCGGGUAAGUUCCGACCUGCACGAAUGGCGUAAUGAUGGCCAGGCUGUCUCCACCCGAGACUCAGUGAAAUUGAACUCGCUGUGAAGAUGCAGUGUACCCGCGGCAAGACGGAAAGACCCCGUGAACCUUUACUAUAGCUUGACACUGAACAUUGAGCCUUGAUGUGUAGGAUAGGUGGGAGGCUUUGAAGUGUGGACGCCAGUCUGCAUGGAGCCGACCUUGAAAUACCACCCUUUAAUGUUUGAUGUUCUAACGUUGACCCGUGAUCCGGGUUGCGGACAGUGUCUGGUGGGUAGUUUGACUGGGGCGGUCUCCUCCUAAAGAGUAACGGAGGAGCACGAAGGUUGGCUAAUCCUGGUCGGACAUCAGGAGGUUAGUGCAAUGGCAUAAGCCAGCUUGACUGCGAGCGUGACGGCGCGAGCAGGUGCGAAAGCAGGUCAUAGUGAUCCGGUGGUUCUGAAUGGAAGGGCCAUCGCUCAACGGAUAAAAGGUACUCCGGGGAUAACAGGCUGAUACCGCCCAAGAGUUCAUAUCGACGGCGGUGUUUGGCACCUCGAUGUCGGCUCAUCACAUCCUGGGGCUGAAGUAGGUCCCAAGGGUAUGGCUGUUCGCCAUUUAAAGUGGUACGCGAGCUGGGUUUAGAACGUCGUGAGACAGUUCGGUCCCUAUCUGCCGUGGGCGCUGGAGAACUGAGGGGGGCUGCUCCUAGUACGAGAGGACCGGAGUGGACGCAUCACUGGUGUUCGGGUUGUCAUGCCAAUGGCACUGCCCGGUAGCUAAAUGCGGAAGAGAUAAGUGCUGAAAGCAUCUAAGCACGAAACUUGCCCCGAGAUGAGUUCUCCCUGACUCCUUGAGAGUCCUGAAGGAACGUUGAAGACGACGACGUUGAUAGGCCGGGUGUGUAAGCGCAGCGAUGCGUUGAGCUAACCGGUACUAAUGAACCGUGAGGCUUAACCUU
rnacentral:rRNA from 1 species